GACGAACGCUGGCGGCGUGCCUAAUACAUGCAAGUAGAACGCACAGUUUAUACCGUAGCUUGCUACACCAUAAACUGUGAGUUGCGAACGGGUGAGUAACGCGUAGGUAACCUGCCUGGUAGCGGGGGAUAACUAUUGGAAACGAUAGCUAAUACCGCAUAAUAUUAAUUAUUGCAUGAUAAUUGAUUGAAAGAUGCAAUUGCAUCACUACCCGAUGGACCUGCGUUGUAUUAGCUAGUAGGUGAGGUAACGGCUCACCUAGGCGACGAUACAUAGCCGACCUGAGAGGGGGAUCGGCCACACUGGGACUGAGACACGGCCCAGACUCCUACGGGAGGCAGCAGUAGGGAAUCUUCGGCAAUGGACGAAAGUCUGACCGAGCAACGCCGCGUGAGUGAAGAAGGUUUUCGGAUCGUAAAGCUCGGUUGUAAGAGAAGAACGGGUGUGAGAGUGGAAAGUUCACACUGUGACGGUAUCUUACCAGAAAGGGACGGCUAACUACGUG
rnacentral:rRNA from 1 species